CUACGGGAUGCUCCAGUGAGGAAUAUUGCACAAUGGGGGGAACCCUGAUGCAGCAACGCCGCGUGGAGGAUGACGCAUUUCGGUGUGUAAACUCCUUUUAUAUGUCAAGAAAAUGACGGUAGCAUAUGAAUAAGCACCCGCUAACUCCGUGCCAGCAGCCGCGGUAAUACGGAGGGUGCAAGCGUUAAUCGGAAUCACUGGGCGUAAAGGACGCGUAGGCGGGUUGGAAAGUCAGGUGUGAAAUCCUACAGCUUAACUGUAGAACUGCACUUGAAACUUCUAAUCUAGAGUAUGGGACGGGGAGAUGGAAUUAGUGGUGUAGGGGUAAAAUCCGUAGAUAUCACUAGGAAUACCUAAAGCGAAGGCGAUCUCCUGGAACAUUACUGACGCUAAGGCGUGAAAGCGUGGGGAGCAAACAGGAUUAGAUACCCUCGUAGUC
rnacentral:rRNA from 1 species